AAUCAAAGUGCAAGAAAUCAUAUAGCUCUUACUGAGGGAAGGAGGUUGUUUGCCAAGAUCUCAUGAUACAUGGCCCCAUCCAUCCUCCCCUCAAUACGGUGAAGUCGUCCAGUCCCCUUUGCAGAAAAGCAUCCCAGUAGAAUGAUGUUUCCAGAGGGGCCAAAGUUUUAGAAGAAACCUAGAGAGGAACCUGGCUUGGAGGGGUGACCAUUGCUUUUCUGUCUGUGCCGUGUGAACAUUUAAAGAGUAUAAGUUCAUUUUAAGAGUAUAAGAAUGUAAGUAGAGUGGCAGCAUGAAUCGGGUAUCAUUUAUCUGCAACAUAUCCAGAAGGACUUUGGCCAGUGUAAGCAACAACUCUAUAGAGCCUGGUUUUCGGGAGGUGGGGGCCAAGACCUCACGUCUUCCUAUGUUUGAACGGAGCAGGAGACAAGAACAUUUUGAGAGUCCACUCCUUAGGUUUACAGUGGAGAAGGACAACUGAAAAUGUAUUUAUUAUUAUAUCCUUAUUUAUUGAUUAUACUGUUUUAAGAUCUUUGUACUCUGUAUGCUUGAAGCGUCACAUGUAUUAAAAUACUUUCUGUUGAAGCAACUCAUGAUAUCUGUAUCUAUAUUCAGGGCCAGUAUUGAGUGGAAUGUCAGCUGUGCAGGGCCUGGGCUCCAAAACCAUCAGAACUGUCCAUGAAGGGAGAACUCUUAACAGCAGCAGGGGGUUCUUGUUACCUGUACUGUACAGGUGAAUGAGACCCUACCCCUUAUGGGGAGUGCCAAGUUAGCAGAAAACCCAUACAGUAACUGUCCAGGUUGAUAAAUGUCAUCUUUUGACUGGGUUGUCGGGGCAACCAACAUUCUAUGAUUAUAUAGGCCUCCUGGAGCCAUGUCUGUGUGCAACGUUGCAUUUCAUAGUCUACAUCGUGGCAAUCUUGUUGUUACACUCCCAGUGGAGUGCUGGAUUAGCAGGAAGUGGGGAGCUGUUUUGUAUUGUUAAUCAACAUUUAAAUAUAUUAUUGUACUUUAGAAAAGAAAAACAUGUCACUAAGUUCAAAUCAGUGUGUCUGGGUUUCCAGGUAGUAAGGGUGUUCAUAUCACAGUGGUACAGAACAGAGUCUGUCACAAAGCACUAUUCGCCUUAUUCACCUACGGCACUUCCUUUAAACCAAAACGAGGCUGUGGGGUACGGAAGUAACGUUGGCCCGCCCAUCUGUAGACUUCUGUCAUAACGUUACCUACAAUGCCGCCACAUUGUUGUGUUCCCAAACGUACGUCUUCAAAGAGAAAGAAAUCCUAUACAGGUCAAACCUUCCAUCGUUUCCCCAAAGAUCCUGUACUUGGCCGUGAAUGGAUUCAUAAAAUAAGAAGAGACCCCGGUCGCCAUUUCAAGGUAAGAUAUUAACAUUAGUUUAAGAUGCUAACGUUAGCCAUAUUUAUGUUAACUGUCAUAGAGAUAGCUAGCUAAACCUUCUGGCUAAAUAGACAUGACUUAAUGGACCUUAUUCACCGCGCCUCCAUCUUGAAAUCCAAAACGAGGCUGGGGGGUACACUGUAACCGGAAGUUCAUUGACAGAGCGCAGCAGCGGGCGUCUAUCAUCAUGGCGAUACCUUUGUGGACAUCAAAUCUUUCAUGUCUUCCCAACAUAACAGUGGACUAUGUCGAAAAAUGGGCCAAUAAGGACUGCAUGAUUCCCCGGGCUGUUUUGCUUAGAGGAUACAGCAACUGGAUCGAGGGAUAUGUGCACGACGUGGAAGGUAAUGCACGGACGAUCACAGCUUUUUUUCUGAAAUCAGCAUUAGUUAACGUUACUGUUGAAGUUAGCUUGUUAGCUAGAAAAAACAACAGGACGUGACAACAUUACAAGCUGAUGCAAAGCAUUGUUAAGAUAUAUUAACCACACCAGCCUGACUAUUAUUUUGAGUGUUAACAAUAAAUUAUUUUGCCGACAGUCAAGGCGAGCGAGACAGUCAGUGUGAGAGCUAAGUCUUUUCGCUCAAUGCGAAAAAACGAGGCACCUUACAACAUUCAGGUAUCAUGACUGUGGACAAACUGCUCGGUUUGUGGAGUGGUGCCACUGCUAGAACAAAUACGCUUGCUGUUUAUCCACUGUUUAUACGUAGUUGUGUGCUUAACAUGGUCUAGAUUAGCAAUGGUUAUUAUCAUAAACAGGCACAGAUCACGUCUUGUUUAUAUUUUGCUGUAAGACCCCAGAGAGCAAAAAAUAUCCGCAAGACUUCUUUUUGCCGCCGGCCCUUAGCUGUCGGCUAUAGGUGCGUCCUGCUGGCGGGGAUGAAACGUUUGCCGCCGAAUACGUCACUCCCAUUUCUUGCGAGAUUUUUUGACUGCUUCAUUAUCUCUGGCGGUUGCCUUGGUCUAAAGGACCGCGGUCCUUCGGCGGCAAGACGCUUUUAAAUAGGCUACUCUCAAAAUCGACCGGCCAUGUUGGUUUGGACACACAUUCACAUCAGUUCGUUGCUCAAUCGCGAGUUACAGUCUGCUAGCUAGCAAAGUCAUCGACUACCAUCGUUUAAAUACCUUGGCCAGAGCAUAACCGAUUAUCUUCACCCAAGAGACCUACUGUUCGUCAAUCGUUUUGGUUUUAAAGAAGUUGCAUUGAUUCCAGAAAACCAGGAAAAUGUUGAGCCAUCUGUAGACUUCAGAGUUGAACCAGGUUUCUCCCCAGUAAUCCAGACUCCACUUCAGAGCCAAGAGUUUGAGUACAAGGCACUUGACUUUCUGGAUAAAAGGUGUGGAGUUCAUCAAGUACUAAACUUUACACCCCCAGCAGAAAAUGUACCCUGGCAGCAAAUGGGUGAAAAGGCUGGAGGAGAAACUCAUCGCUCCGUUAUUGGCCCUUGGACUCCCCUGGCAUCGCAUGUACAGCAUGAAGUUUUCAGCAAUGAAGGUAUAUUCUAGGCCUAUGUCCUAAUGUCCAGUUUUUUAACAGUUUUGAAAAUAGUGCCUUUAGUUUUCCAGAACGAGAACCAAGCCCUGAGGGAGGAGAACCAAGCCCUGAGGGAGGAGAACCAAGCCCUGAGGGAGGAGAACCAAGCCCUGAGGGAGGAGAACCAUGCCCUGAGGGAGGAGAACCAUGCCCUGAGGGAGGAGAACCAUGCCCUGAGGGAGGAGAACCAUGCCCUGAGGGAGGGGAGCCAUGCACGAGCAGCUUCGGGUGACAGCGGCUCGCUUCAAGAGCAGGUGAAGCAAUUUGGGACAAUGCUGAAGAUGUUUGCUCGCACUGGGCAAUCAGGUGCAGAUCAGACCUUAGUGCUGCGACGUCUUGGAGAGUUUGGCGAUGUUGUGCGUAGCAUGGAAAACAAAAUGGACACUAUGCUGCAACAUUUCAGUGCCAAUGUGUCUGUUGGAGAGCUAUCCCUGCCAGGGGAUGUUACUCCCCCUAGACACCCAGGAAGAUUUGGUGUUUCUUGACAGCAUUUUGAGGGAGGAUAAAGAGCUCCAGGAACGAUUUGGGCCCUCCGGAAGAACCCGGCAACCCAGGAUGCCACUGAUGAGGCGGUCCAGGUUAACGUUACACGUUACCUGAAAGGAGCAUCAGACCGUGAAGGAGGAAAAAGCCGCCCAGCUGAGAAGGACCCACAGCCAACCCCUUAAACCUAGGCUGACUACUGACACCCCAGCAUCCCUGAACUGGAACACUUUCUUUAUCCUGCAGUCAGUAACAUCAAGAAGCCAGAAGUGCCAGACUACACUCACCAAACCCACCCUGUUUUUAUUUGUAUUAACUUUAGUAUUGGCUUAUUUCAUUCCAUCUUAACGAUUCUAUUAUAGUUUGUAAAUCCUAUUUCAUACCUGUUACUUGAUAUUGCGCAUUAACUAGUACCAACAUUCUACUUUCAUUUCAUCACUAUGCUUAACUGUUAUUCAAUUAAUAAUAGCUUGGAAAUACUAUUUCGUACCUCUGAUACUUGAUAUUGCACAGUACCUGGUACCAAAUAUUCUACUUACUCUGUUUUUAACAUCAGCAUUUUUCAUUCCAUCACAGUGCUUAACUGUUAUUCUAUUGUUAAAUAUAGCUUGUAAAUCCUCGUGCCACAGGUCAGCAUUGCAGUUAUAAUGGUCUGUUCUACUACUGUUUUUACCUCUGUAUUUUUAUAUAUGUAUAUCAAGUUUUGUUUAUCACAGAUACAAGAGACACAUCUUAAUGCAGCAUGGUGUAAAUAUUGUGAUCCAGGUCAGCAAUGCCAUUAUAAUGGAAUAUUCUACUCUAGAGCUUUACUCAAUGGCUUGAAAAUGUGAUGUUCUACCUCGUUUUAUUUGGUAUCCUGCACAUUCUUUGGUACCAAAUAUCCUCAUUACUUGUUAGGUUUACUGGUAAUUAUUUUCAUCCCAGAGCUGACCUCUAUAUUAUUAACAAUGAUUGUGUUUGUGUUAUAAUUUGCUUGUAUGGCUGUUCUUUUUUUUUAACCAACAUUUUAUUGGAAACCUGCAUGUUCUGUGUGUAUUUAUGUUUAUUUUUUUUCUGCCUAUUAUUUAUUUCAGUGAUCUGACACAUCUUGUUUGAAUGACAGUUACUGUACUUUGAAAUGUGGAAUUAAAA
ensembl:lncRNA